GCUGCAUCCUAAACGAAUUUUUAUUUAGUCGUAAGUGGUUUUGUUUACGCAACAUUUACGAGCCUACAACAUGAGCAAUUGGAGUUUUUGGAAACCAUUGACUUUGGCGGAGUUGGCCAACGAGCUAGAAAAUGAUGAUACUGCUGAUAUUCCUGAAGAAAUAAUAAUUUUCCCGCCUGAAAAUGCUAACGAUGACUGUGGUACUGAUGAAGACUCGGGAGAUGAAAAUGUAGUAGAUAUAAAUGAUUUGCCCGGACCUCAGCUACGAACUAAUGUAGAGUGCAGGAACUAGAAGUAGGAGAGCAUUAGGAUGGCGAGGAUGAAAAGCCGUGAUCGCACAGGUGACCUAACUAAAGAAAAACUUUUCUCUUUUAUUGGUGGUUUAGUUUUAAGUGGAUACGUUCAUCUACCUAGAGACAGAAUGUAUUGGCAGAAUAGAAAUGACACGAAUAAUAAACUUGUGUGUGACGCUAUUUCUCGCAACAGAUUUCAAUAUAUAAUGAAUGAUAUUUAUUGUAAUAAUAAUACGAACAUAAAUAAAGAAGACAGAUAUUCAACAAUGAGACCCUAA